CAGCAGCCACGGUAAUACGUAGGGUGCAAGUGUUAAUCGGAGUUACUGGGCGUAAAGCGUGCGCAGGCGGUUCGUUAAGACAGAUGUGAAAUCCCCGGGCUUAACCUGGGAACUGCAUUUGUGACUGGCGAGCUAGAGUAUGGCAGAGGGGGGUAGAAUUCCACGUGUAGCAGUGAAAUGCGUAGAGAUGUGGAGGAAUACCGAUGGCGAAGGCAGCCCCCUGGGCCAAUACUGACGCUCAUGCACGAAAGCGUGGGGAGCAAACAGGAUUAGAUACCCCUGUAGUCCCUGUCUCUUAUAC
rnacentral:rRNA from 1 species